rnacentral:lncRNA from 13 species
AUUGGGGAUAUUGGUGAUCAUGAUAUUGGGUAUAUUGAUGAUAAUGUUACUGGUGAUCAUGAUACUGGGGAUAUUGAUCAUUAUAUUAGGGAUAUUGGUGAUCAUGAUAUUGGGGAUCAUAUGAUAUUGGCGAUCAUAUGAUAUUGGCGAUCAUGAUACUGGCGAUAUUGGUGAUCAUGAUACUGGGGAUAUUGGUGAUCGUGAUAUUGGUGAACAUGAUACUGGCGAUAUUGGCGAUCAUGAGACUGGGGAUAUUAGGAAUAUUAGUGAUCAUGAUAUUGGUGAUCUUGAUACUGGGGAUAUUGGUGAUCAUGAUUUAGGGAUAAUGGUGAUGUUACUGGUGAUCAUGAUACUGGGGAUAUUGGUGAUCGUGAUACUGGGGAUAUUGGUGAUCGUGAUAUUGGCGAUCAUGAGACUGGGGAUAUUAGGAAUAUUAGUGAUCAUGAUAUUGGGGAUAUUGGUGAUCAUGAUACUGGGGAUAUUGGUG